CCACUUACCUGGCAGGGGAGAUACCGUGAUGAAGGUACUUCACCCAGUGCGAGGCUCAGCCAUUUUCUGGCUGUGCUGACCCCUGUGAAUUCCCCCAAAUGUGGGAAUCUCGACUGCAUAAUUUCUGGUAUCAGCGAUAUUUUGCUC
ensembl:snRNA U1 U1 spliceosomal RNA